UUUAUGGAGAGUUUGAUCCUGGCUCAGGAUGAACGCUGGCGGCGUGCCUAAUACAUGCAAGUCGAGCGAACGGACGAGAAGCUUGCUUCUCUGAUGUUAGCGGCGGACGGGUGAGUAACACGUGGAUAACCUACCUAUAAGACUGGGAUAACUUCGGGAAACCGGAGCUAAUACCGGAUAAUAUUUUGAACCGCAUGGUUCAAAAGUAAAAGACGGUCUUGCUGUCACUUAUAGAUGGAUCCGCGCUGCAUUAGCUAGUUGGUAAGGUAACGGCUUACCAAGG
rnacentral:rRNA from 1 species